UGGGGAAUAUUGGACAAUGGGGGCAACCCUGAUCCAGCAAUGCCGCGUGUGUGAAGAAGGUCUUCGGAUUGUAAAGCACUUUCGACGGAGACGAUGAUGACGGUACCCGUAGAAGAAGCCCCGGCUAACUUCGUGCUAGCAGCCGCGGUAAUACGAAGGGGGCUAGCGUUGCUCGGAAUGACUGGGCGUAAAGGGCGUGUAGGCGGUUUACACAGUCAGAUGUGAAAUCCCCGGGCUUAACCUGGGAGCUGCAUUUGAUACGUGUAGACUAGAGUGUGAGAGAGGGUUGUGGAAUUCCCAGUGUAGAGGUGAAAUUCGUAGAUAUUGGGAAGAACACCGGUGGCGAAGGCGGCAACCUGGCUCAUGACUGACGCUGAGGCGCGAAAGCGUGGGGAGCAAACAGGAUUAGAUACCCUGGUAGUCCACGCUGUAAACGAUGUGUGCUAGAUGUUGGGCAACUUUGUUAUUCAGUGUCGCAGUUAACGCGUUAAGCACACCGCCUGGGGGAGUACGGCCGCAAGGUUGAAAC
rnacentral:rRNA from 1 species